rnacentral:snRNA from 1 species
CAGUUUUCAAAUUUUUAAUGAUAAAGAAUGUUGAUACAGAGAUUAGCAUGGCCCCUGAGCAAGGAUGACAUGCAAAUUCGUGAAGCGUUCCUUAUUUUU